CGAAAGUCUGACGGAGCAACGCCGCGUGAGUGACGAAGGCCUUCGGGUCGUAAAGCUCUGUUGUUAGGGAAGAACAAGUACCGUUCGAAUAGGGCGGUACCUUGACGGUACCUAACCAGAAAGCCACGGCUAACUACGUGCCAGCAGCCGCGGUAAUACGUAGGUGGCAAGCGUUGUCCGGAAUUAUUGGGCGUAAAGCGCGCGCAGGCGGUCUCUUAAGUCUGAUGUGAAAGCCCACGGCUCAACCGUGGAGGGCCAUUGGAAACUGGGGGACUUGAGUGCAGAAGAGGAGAGUGGAAUUCCACGUGUAGCGGUGAAAUGCGUAGAUAUGUGGAGGAACACCAGUGGCGAAGGCGGCUCUCUGGUCUGUAACUGACGCUGAGGCGCGAAAGCGUGGGGAGCAAACAGGAUUAGAUACCCUGGUAGUCCACGCCGUAAACGAUGAGUGCUAGGUGUUGGGGGGUUCCACCCUCAGUGCUGAAGUUAACACAUUAAGCACUCCGCCUGGGGAGUACGACCGCAAGGUUGAAACUCAAAGGAAUUGACGGGGGCCCGCACAAGCAGUGGAGCAUGUGGUUUAAUUCGAAGCAACGCGAAGAACCUUACCAGGUCUUGACAUCCUCUGCCACUCCUAGAGAUAGGACGUU
rnacentral:rRNA from 1 species